ACAGCGGCGCAUCCCGAGACUCAUGUCUAAAAUGAACAUAGUUGGCAGAGUCCAACAAAUCAGACGGGAUGUUUCUUCUUCAAAAGCUAGGCAAAGAGUGAUUGAAAAGUUCCCGAUU